GGCUCAUCGCUCAGUGGCAGAGCGUCUGCCUUGCAUGCAGAGGGUCCCAGGUUCAAUCUCUGGCAUCUUCA